rnacentral:rRNA from 1 species
GACGAACGCUGGCGGCGUGCCUAAUACAUGCAAGUAGAACGCUGAGGGAGGAGCUUGCUCUUCUGGAUGAGUUGCGAACGGGUGAGUAACGCGUAGGUAACCUGCCUGGUAGCGGGGGAUAACUAUUGGAAACGAUAGCUAAUACCGCAUAAGAGUAGAUGUUGCAUGACAUUUACUUAAAAGGUGCAAUUGCAUCACUACCAGAUGGACCUGCGUUGUAUUAGCUAGUUGGUGGGGUAACGGCUUACCAAGGCGACGAUACAUAGCCGACCUGAGAGGGUGAUCGGCCACACUGGGACUGAGACACGGCCCAGACUCCUACGGGAGGCAGCAGUAGGGAAUCUUCGGCAAUGGACGGAAGUCUGACCGAGCAACGCCGCGUGAGUGAAGAAGGUUUUCGGAUCGUAAAGCUCUGUUGUAAGAGAAGAACGAGUGUGAGAGUGGAAAGUUCACACUGUGACGGUAUCUUACCAGAAAGGGACGGCUAACUACGUG